rnacentral:rRNA from 1 species
UACAGAGGGUGCAAGCGUUGUUCGGAAUUACUGGGCGUAAAGCGCGUGUAGGUGGCGAUGUAAGUCGGGUGUGAAAUCCCUUGGCUUAACCAAGGAAGUGCAUUCGAUACUGUGUCGCUUGAGUAUCGGAGGGGUCGGCGGAAUUCCCGGUGUAGAGGUGAAAUUCGUAGAUAUCGGGAGGAACACCAGUGGCGAAGGCGGCUUCCUGGACCUGAUCUGACGCUGAGGAGCGAAAGCGUGGGGAGCGAUCCGG